CCUACGGGCGGCAGCAGUGAGGAAUAUUGGUCAAUGGGCGUAAGCCUGAACCAGCCAAGCCGCGUGAGGGAUGAAGGUUCUAUGUAUCGUAAACCUCUUUUGUCAGGGAACAAAGGCGGGGACGUGUCCCCGUCUGAAUGUACCUUAUGAAAAAGCAUCGGCUAACUCCGUGCCAGCAGCCGCGGUAAUACGGAGGAUGCGAGCGUUAUCCGGAUUUAUUGGGUUUAAAGGGUGCGUAGGCGGACGCGUAAAGUAGGCGUGAAAAUCGGGGGGUCAACCCUCGACUUGCCGUUGAAACUGGUCGGCUAGAGUGUGCUUGAGGUAGGCGGAAUGCGUGGUGUAGCGGUGAAAUGCUUAGAGAUCACGCAGAACCCCGAUUACGAAGGCAGCAUACC
rnacentral:rRNA from 1 species